UAUUGAACGCAUAUUGCGGCCACGGGUCCGUCCUGUGGCCACGCCCGUCUGAGGGUCGGCGACGUUCUACCCAUCGCUGGGAGGCUCGUGCCCAGCGCCUUGAGCUUUCGCAGGCUUUCCGUACUGCGUGGCUUGAAAUGCAGACCCGAAAUGUUUGUUUGUUUGCCUGGCUGCUGUAAGUUGCGUGGCGACCUCAUGCGAGCAAAAGGACAUGGCUCGGAUAAAAUGAACGGUCUUUUGCUCUCGACCGCCGCGACGACCAACACACACACACACGGUAAGGCAUCCAUCCCAUUUCCGACCUCAGAUCGGACGAGAUUACCCGCUGAAUUUAAGCAUAUCAC
rnacentral:rRNA from 1 species